CAGCUUGCUGGGUGGAUUAGUGGCGAACGGGUGAGUAAUACGUGAGUAACCUGCCCUUGACUCUGGGAUAAGCCUGGGAAACUGGGUCUAAUACUGGAUACUACCGGCCAUCGCAUGGUGGUGGGUGGAAAGGGUUUUACUGGUUUUGGAUGGGCUCACGGCCUAUCAGCUUGUUGGUGGGGUAAUGGCUCACCAAGGCGACGACGGGUAGCCGGCCUGAGAGGGUGACCGGCCACACUGGGACUGAGACACGGCCCAGACUCCUACGGGAGGCAGCAGUGGGGAAUAUUGCACAAUGGGCGAAAGCCUGAUGCAGCGACGCCGCGUGAGGGAUGACGGCCUUCGGGUUGUAAACCUCUUUCAGUAGGGAAGAAGCGAGAGUGACGGUACCUGCAGAAGAAGCGCCGGCUAACUACGUGCCAGCAGCCGCGGUAAUACGUAGGGCGCAAGCGUUGUCCGGAAUUAUUGGGCGUAAAGAGCUCGUAGGCGGUUUGUCGCGUCUGCUGUGAAAGCCCGGGGCUCAACCCCGGGUCUGCAGUGGGUACGGGCAGACUAGAGUGCAGUAGGGGAGACUGGAAUUCCUGGUGUAGCGGUGAAAUGCGCAGAUAUCAGGAGGAACACCGAUGGCGAAGGCAGGUCUCUGGGCUGUUACUGACGCUGAGGAGCGAAAGCAUGGGGAGCGAACAGGAUUAGAUACCCUGGUAGUCCAUGCCGUAAACGUUGGGCACUAG
rnacentral:rRNA from 1 species